rnacentral:rRNA from 1 species
UGGGGAAUAUUGCACAAUGGGCGGAAGCCUGAUGCAGCGACGCCGCGUGGGGGAUGAAGGCCUUCGGGUUGUAAACUCCUUUCGACAGGGACGAAGCUUUUGUGACGGUACCUGUAUAAGAAGCACCAGCUAACUACGUGCCAGCAGCCGCGGUAAUACGUAGGGUGCGAGCGUUGUCCGGAAUUACUGGGCGUAAAGAGCUCGUAGGUGGUUUGUCGCGUCGUCUGUGAAAUUCCGGGGCUUAACUCCGGGCGUGCAGGCGAUACGGGCUGACUUGAGUGCUGUAGGGGAGACUGGAAUUCCUGGUGUAGCGGUGAAAUGCGCAGAUAUCAGGAGGAACACCGAUGGCGAAGGCAGGUCUCUGGGCAGUAACUGACGCUGAGGAGCGAAAGCAUGGGUAGCGAACAGGAUUAGAUACCCUGGUAGUCCAUGCCGUAAACGGUGGGCGCUAGGUGUAGGGGGCUUCCACGUCUUCUGUGCCGUAGCUAACGCAUUAAGCGCCCCGCCUGGGGAGUACGGCCGCAAGGCUA